AUGCGCCGCGUCUUGCGGCGCGGGCUGGGCAUCCUCCUCGUCCCACUCCCUGGCCCACUCAGCCGGCCGCCGCCGAUCCCUCUCGCUGCUCUCCUCCUCCUCCCGCGCCGCCUGGAUGCCUUCUUCCGACGGCCCUUCUGCGACUACAGCGGGGGCCGCGCCGUCGAGCAGUUCUCCGACGACGAGUACGACCACGAGUACGAGGACCACCGGCCGUCGUCGUCGGUGGCGAACAUCGACGAGUGGAGGUGGAAGCUGAGCAUGCUGCAGCGCAAUGCGGAGGAGCAGGAGAUCAUCUCCAGGGACCGGAGGGACCGCCGGGACUAUGACCAGAUCGCCAACCUCGCCAAGAGGAUGGGGCUCUACAGUGAGCUGUAUGGGAAGGUUAUUGUUGCGAGCAAGGUCCCGCUGCCGAACUACAGGCCGGACCUGGACGACAAGCGCCCGCAAAGAGAGGCGAGUCCAUGCAAUCCAAUGGUGGUGAUCCCGCUAAGCUUGCAGAGGAGGGUUGAAGGAUUUGUGCAGGAGCACCUUGACCGUUCGCUCUUGCCAUUUAAUAAAGACGGUGGCAAGUCAGAGAGUGGUUCUGAGAAAGCUGAGCAUGUGAACUUGGAUGAGAAGCAGGAUCCUCUGCUCGACGAGUCGGUUAUGGAGAAGAUCCUUCAGAGGAAGAGUCUUAGGAUGCGCAAUUUUCAAAGAAGUUGGCAGGAAUCACCUGAAGGCGCUAAGAUGGUAGAAUUUCGGAAAUCACUCCCAGCAUACAAGGAGAAGGAAAGGCUUCUAGCAGCCAUUGCACGUAAUCAGGUUAUAGUUAUUUCUGGGGAGACAGGGUGUGGAAAAACAACACAGUUGCCUCAAUUUGUGUUGGAGUCAGAGAUAGAAUCUGGUCGAGGGGCCUUUUGUAACAUAAUCUGUACACAGCCACGAAGAAUAUCUGCAAUGGCUGUUGCAGAAAGAGUAUCCACCGAAAGAGGAGAAAACCUUGGUGAAUCGGUUGGCUACAAAGUUCGAUUGGAGGGAAUUAGAGGAAAAGAUACACAUUUACUUUUCUGCACCAGUGGUAUUUUACUAAGACGAUUGCUGAGUGACCGAAACUUGAAUGGAGUAUCUCAUGUAUUUGUUGAUGAAAUACAUGAAAGAGGGAUGAAUGAAGAUUUCUUAUUGAUUGUUCUAAAGGACCUAUUGUCACGGCGCCGCGAUCUAAGGUUGAUAUUGAUGAGUGCUACUUUAAAUGCGGAACUGUUCUCAAGUUAUUUCGGAGGAGCGCCAACUAUCCACAUUCCUGGAUUCACACAUCCAGUGAGGGCGCAUUUUCUGGAAGACAUAUUAGAGAGGACAGGCUAUAAGAUGACAGCAAGUAAUCAACUUGACGAUUACGGCCAAGAUAAAGUGUGGAAGACUCAGAGACAGCUAUUACCAAGAAAAAGGAAAAAUCAAAUUACUACACUUGUCGAGGAUGCCCUUCAAAAUUCGAACUUUGAAACCUAUGGCUCAAGGACACGUGAUUCUCUGGCAAACUGGAAUCCUGAUUGCAUAGGGUUUAAUCUCAUAGAGGCUGUUCUGUGCCACAUAUGUCGCAAAGAGCGAGCUGGUGCAGUUUUAGUUUUUAUGACCGGAUGGGAUGACAUUAGCUCUUUGAAGGAUCAACUAAAAGCGCAUCCGUUGCUAGGCGACCCAAAUAGAGUGUUACUGCUUGCAUGCCAUGGUUCCAUGGCUACCUCUGAGCAGAGGCUAAUAUUUGACAAGGCACCUCCUAAUGUUCGGAAGGUAGUACUUGCCACUAACAUGGCAGAGGCAAGUAUUACCAUAAAUGACAUCGUUUUCGUCAUGGAUUGUGGAAAAGCAAAGGAAACCACAUACGAUGCUCUAAACAACACUCCCUGCUUGCUCCCCUCAUGGAUUUCAAAGGCUUCUUCCCGUCAGAGGAGGGGCAGAGCUGGUCGUGUCCAACCUGGAGAAUGCUAUCAUCUCUACCCCCGAUGUGUAUAUGAUGCAUUUGCAGAGUACCAGCUUCCAGAGCUUCUUAGGACUCCUUUGAAUUCACUAUGUUUGCAGAUAAAAAGUUUGCAGGUUGACAGCAUUGGGGAGUUUCUAUCAGCUGCUUUGCAGCCUCCAGAACCACGAGCCGUCCAAAAUGCAGUGGAAUUCCUGAAGAUGAUCGGAUCAUUAGAUGAGAACGAGAACCUUACUGAUCUAGGAAGAUACCUCUCCAUGCUUCCAGUUGAUCCGAAGUUGGGGAAGAUGCUUAUAAUGGGUGCAGUUUUCCGUUGCAUUGACCCUAUACUUACUGUGGUUGCUGGAUUGAGUGCCCGGGAUCCUUUCCUGUUGCCACAGGACAAGAAAGAUUUGGCAGGAACUGCAAAAUCAAGAUUCUCAGCGAAAGAUUAUAGUGAUCAUAUGGCCCUUGUACGAGCUUAUGAAGGAUGGAAGGAUGCUGAGAGGGAAGGAUCUGGUUAUGAGUACUGUUGGAGGAAUUUCCUUUCUGCUCAAACACUACAAGCCAUUCAUUCUCUUCGAAAGCAAUUCAGCUAUAUCUUAAAGGACGCCGGUUUGAUAGACUCUGAUGCAAAUACAAAUAAUAGUUUGAGCCAUAAUCAAUCAUUAGUUCGUGGUGUAAUUUGUUCUGGACUUUUUCCUGGGAUAUCAUCUGUUGUGCAUAGGGAAAACUCCAUGUCCUUCAAGACCAUGGAUGACGGCCAAGUUCUUGUUUAUGCUAACUCCGUGAAUGCUAAGUACCAGACCAUCCCUUAUCCAUGGCUGGUCUUUGGUGAGAAGGUGAAGGUAAAUGCUGUCUUCAUCCGUGAUUCAACUGGAGUAUCAGAUUCCAUACUGAUCUUAUUUGGUGGUGCUGUUACAAAAGGAAGCGCGGCUGGGCAUUUGAAGAUGCUUGAUGGUUACAUUGAUCUAUUUAUGGAUCCCAGCCUGUCAGAGUGCUACUUGCAACUUAAAGAGGAACUUGAUAAACUUGUACAGAAGAAGCUUGAAGACCCAACCUUUGACAUUCACAAGGAAGGCAAAUACAUUUUAUUUGCUGCACAAGAGCUUGCUGCGGGCGACCUAUGUGAAGGAAGGUUUGUGUUCGGCCGAGAAACGAGCAGAGCUAGGCUUCGGGACAACGAAGACGGCAAAAGCAACAUCAUAAAGGAUGGUAUGAACCCAAAGAGCCUGCUGCAGACCUUGCUGAUGAGGGCAGGCCACACGCCUCCAAAGUACAAGACAAAGCACCUCAAGACCAACGAGUUCAGGGCCAUGGUGGAGUUCAAAGGGAUGCAGUUCGUCGGGAAGCCGAAGAGGAACAAGCAGGUCGCGGAGAGGGACGCCGCGAUAGAAGCUCUGGGAUGGUUGACACAAACGUCCGGUACGAAGCUCCAGGAUGAGGGUGACGACUCCCCGCUCGACCUGACCGAUAACAUGCUUAAGCUGCUUUCUAGACCAAGGAAACGGACGAGAAAUAACCCGAAGAAAUGA
rnacentral:rRNA from 1 species